rnacentral:rRNA from 1 species
CUUGACCUAUAUAAGAGGUCCAGCCUGCCCAGUGACAUAGUUCAACGGCCGCGGUAUCCUAACCGUGCGAAGGUAGCGUAAUCACUUGUUCUUUAAAUGAGGACUAGUAUGAAAGGCAUCACGAGAGUCACGCUGUCUCCUCUCUCUAAUCAGUAAAACUAAUCUCCCCGUGAAGAAGCGGGGAUAAAAAUAUAAGACGAGAAGACCCUAUGGAGCUUAAAACAAACAACACUUGCCUGCUUUAUCCAAAUUUCAGAAAAACCCUUCACUCUGGCACUAUGAUUGCUAGUUUUCGGUUGGGGUGACCACGGAACAAAAAACAACCUCCGAAAUGAAAAUACUCCUCCACUAAAUCAAGGACUACAAUCCUACAUAUCAACAAAUUGACAUCAAUUGACCCAACAUGUUGAUCAAUGAAC